AAUUUUGGACAAUGGGGGAAACCCUGAUCCAGCCAUCCCGCGUGUGCGAUGAAGGCCUUCGGGUUGUAAAGCACUUUUGGCAGGGAAGAAAAGGCUCUGGUUAAUACCUGGAGAUGCUGACGGUACCUGCAGAAUAAGCACCGGCUAACUACGUGCCACAAGCCGCGGUAAUACUUAGGGGGAAAGCGUUAACCGGAAUUACUGGGCGUAAAGCGUGCCCCGGCGGUUUGGCAAGAAGGAUGUGAAAUCCCAGGGCUUAACCUUGGAACUGCAUUCUUAACUGCCAGGCUAGAGUAUGUCAGAGGGGGGUAGAAUUCCGCGUGUAGCAGUGAAAUGCGUAGAGAUGCGGAGGAAUACCGAUGGCGAAGGCAGCCCCCUGGGAUAAUACUGACGCUCAUGCACGAAAGCGUGGGGAGCAAACA
rnacentral:rRNA from 1 species